UGUAUUCCCAAGAUGCAUUGCGAAGAAGGACCAUGGCUGACAAGUCCUUAGCACUGUCUUUUUUUCAGCUAGCGUUAACCAGUUGUUUCUCCAAGGUUUAAUACACGUAAUCGCUCCCUAUCCUUACAUAAAGAAACGUCUUCAAAUGAUCAUCCUGUGAAAGCUUCCACUGAAGUUAAGUCGUCGUCGUGACGUCCAGUUGAAUUUGUGUCAGCAAUACAUUUCUGAAGAGAAUUUGGAGAUCUGCGAUGGCGUCAAUUGUGGCCAAGCGCGAAGGACCGCAGUUCAUCAGUGAAAUUGCCGUGAGGGGCAACGCUGCCGUACUGGACUAUUGUAGGACGUCUGUAUCUGCUCUGUCCGGAGCGACAGCGGGAAUCCUCGGACUGACGGGACUAUACGGGUUCAUCUUCUACUUCCUAGCCUCGUUUCUCCUCUCCUUGCUGCUCAUCCUGAAGGCAGGGCGUCGGUGGAACAAGUGCUUCAAAGCCAGACGGUUGCUCUUCACGGGCGGCCUUGUCGGGGGUCUUUUUACUUAUGUCCUAUUUUGGACUUUUCUCUACGGAAUGGUGCAUGUGUACUGAAGUGAGCUGUCCGAGAUAAACGAAAUUAGCUCCCAUUAACAAGUGAGUCUGUCUUGCUGUUUUUAAAUAGACAAAUAAUGACAGACCUAGACCCCCCCCCCCUCUUAUGAACUUUUCGUACAAUGGGACCUAGGUAUCAGUUAGGGAACACAAUAACUGUACUGUCAUUCCCCCUCUGAUCAACUAGGCAGUGAGAGAAUGACUUAACUAAAUUAACCUUUGUCUUGUUUGUAAAACUAUCCCUUGUGGUUAACGGCCCGAGUAGUUGUUAUCCUGUUUGGUUUAAUGCUUAGAUUAUGUCAAUUAAGAUUAUUUGAAUUUCUAAAUGUGUUAAUUAUGUGUUGGCAAGGCUAGUGUUUGCCUACAAUCUGACUGAUUUGUACAAAAAAUAAAUGCCUAAAGUAAUAA